AAGCCACACGGUCCAGACCCCAACGAAAAGAAAAGGCGUGCUCAAUUUUACUUCACCAGAAAGCGGAAAGCAGUGUCUGUAGUACAACCAUAAGAAUGCGAGCUCUGCAACUGAGCAAGAAAACUCUCUCUCGUACUCUCUUCCUCGCCACCUCCACUUCCUCUUCCUCAUCACCGUACCGAACUAUAACCACCGCCGCUCUACUAUCCUCACCCGCCUGUCACAACCACAUCCACCGCUGCUCCGACACGUGGCUCUCCGCCUCAUCAUCCGCCAACCUCCUCCGCUCUCCUUGGUCCCUCACUCAACACCGCGGGAUCAGAGUCUCCGGUUCCGAUGUCAAAGUCGGAAACGUGAUCGAGAAAAAAGGACGUAUUUACCAGGUGGUUAAGACAGAUCAUUCACAUGAAGGAAGAGGCAAGGCCACUAUAAAGGUGGAGCUUCGUGACAUUGAAAGUGGAAACAAAGUGUCUCAACGAUUGGGUACCGAUGAGAGUGUUGAAAGAGUAUUUGUUCAAGAGAAAACUUACAUGUAUAUGUGCACUGAUCGCAAUGGCACUAUAGUCCUGAUGGACGUUAAAACGUUUGAUCAGCUGGAAGUGUCCCAGGAGUUGUUUGGCAAAGAUGCGAAGUAUUUACAAGGUGAGAUGAGAGUUAUUGUAAGGCUUUAUGAUGAUAUACCUUUAUCUGCAUCGGUUCCAAAACGCGUGACAUGUAUUGUCAAGGAAGCACAAGAUCCUAUGAAAGGGGUCCCAGCCCCACCUAACUGAAGAAACACAAUCUUCUUAUUCAACCAGCUAGCUGACCUUGUAAUUGCUAAAGUUUGUUUAUCAGAGGUGUUCACUAAUUGUCUAACUGUGGACCAUGCGUACACCUUGGCCUGUAUGAUGAGACUGGCAUGUACUGUAUUGUCUAAUGAAGGCUGUCAUGCUUGCAAUUGAAUGUGAUUUUCUGUCCUAUUGUCCCCUUUGACAAUGCAAAAUCAAAGGAUAAAAAGGUUGUAUUGGAAAAUGGCCUGACUGUUGAGGUGCCAAUGUUCGUCGUAGCCGGUGAUGCUGUAGUUAUUAAUACUGAGACUGACUCUUAUGUAGAGAGGGCUAAGGCAUAAUCUUGUGUUGGCUUUAUUCUGAAGGAGAUAUGGAAUGUCAAAUUGUGCACCAUGCAUAUCUCUGGUUCCUACGGAAAUCAAUCUUUCAAUUCAUCGAUUUUAGACAAUUUGCUCGUACCUACACAUGGUAUUUAAACUUGAGGUAUAUGAGACCUACAGGAUUUUUAUUUUUAUUUUUUAGAUUCUAAAAAAGUGCGGUGAGGCAAUGGGAGAUGACACAAUUUGUGAAACAUGGAGAGCUUUAUACAUAUUUUCUAUGAAUAAAUUCAUACUGUUUUGGUACUUA